UGAUGCUGUUAGGAGAAACAAAUAGCAUUCAUAAAUUUCCAUCCUAAGAAAGUGACAAAAAAGGAUAAUCACAGAGCACAACAAAGCGGCAAUUUAUGUGUUAGAAAAACAAACAUGAAUCAGCAUUGUUGGAAAAAUGUUGCUGUAGCCGACAUUGCGACAAUAGUACUUGUAAUCAGUGUAGCAACUGUUUUCCUUGGCAGCAUAUUUUGUGUAUGCAGCGCUUCCUCACCCCUACCCUCAUUGGAGGAGAUACUGGUGCAUGUAGCAGGUCAAGAGAAGCCGAAGUGUUAAAAUUAAUUGGGGAAGGCACUGUUUAGCAGUGAUUACGAUGGAGCAGGUAGGGGCACUGCUGUCAGUUCUUAAAAGGAGUAGGGGUUACCAGAACAGAAAAGGAUCUACACUUGUAAGCAAGCAUUCAAUCCAGUAGACCUAGUCUACCCAGAAAUCAAAAUGGGAAUUAAAAUAAACUGCUUGGACAUUUGGAAAACAAGCAAUGAAGAAUUAAGAAAAACAAACUUUGUAUUAAGAUGUGUUUCGUUAAGAUCAGUGGAAAUUGAAAAUGAAAGCAAAUUAUGAAUACACAUUUUUCAAAAUACGAAGAAAAAAAAGAUGUUGGCCAAAUAAAAUAAAUAAGGAGAUCAAAAUUAAACUGGGUAUGACCAUAAAAUAACAAA